UGAGGAACAUGACCUUCGGCGGGGGAUAGCCGGCCCAACGGCCGGGUAAUACCGCGUACGACCACUCGGGGACAUCCCUAGGUGGUGAAAGCAGCAAUGCGCCGAUGGAGUGCCUCGCGGCCUAUCAGCUAGUUGGUGAGGUAACGGCUCACCAAGGCGACGACGGGUAGCUGGUCUGAGAGGAUGGCCAGCCACACUGGGACUGAGACACGGUCCAGACUCCUACGGGAGCAG
rnacentral:rRNA from 1 species